UACGUAGGGCGCGAGCGUUGUCCGGAAUUAUUGGGCGUAAAGAGCUCGUAGGCGGCUUGUCGCGUCGGUUGUGAAAGCCCGGGGCUUAACCCCGGGUCUGCAGUCGAUACGGGCAGGCUAGAGUUCGGUAGGGGAGAUCGGAAUUCCUGGUGUAGCGGUGAAAUGCGCAGAUAUCAGGAGGAACACCGGUGGCGAAGGCGGAUCUCUGGGCCGAUACUGACGCUGAGGAGCGAAAGCGUGGGGAGCGAAC
rnacentral:rRNA from 1 species